AGAAAAGGGCUAAGAGUUUUACAAUUCUAUUAAAUGUUCUUUGUCGAUUUCUGAAGUUUUCAAGUCUUGACACAUUUUAUGAUUAAUUUUGAGGGUUCAAAUGGAGUUAUAUUGGGUUUUGAUGUUUCAAUUGUUGAAUCUGGGCCGUUCUGUUGCUGUUUAUUGCUUUCACCUCUUUUCCUUUUGCAUUUUCCAGAUAUACCUUCAAAACUUAUCAUGGAAUUGAAUAUUGACUAGCAUGUAUGAGGAUCCGGGAAAUCAAGUUGAAGUUUGAAUGGAAACCUUAAAUUUCUAAUGUAAUUAUUGUUAUUUACUACCAUUAUGUGCGAUUGAAUGCUUUAGUUUUGUAGUAGUUCAAUUUCUGGUUUAUGUGGGGUUGUUUGUUCAUGCUAAUAGCUUAUGGUAAUUUAGUUAUUCAGAUUUAGUGUGUAAUUUCAAAAUAAUGGGAUGUUGUAAUAGCAUUUGAG
rnacentral:lncRNA from 1 species